rnacentral:rRNA from 1 species
GUCUACUGCCAUGCCACCCUGAACAUGCCCAAUCCCGUCUGAUCUCGGAAGCUAAAGGUUGGGCCUGGCUAGUACUUGGAUGGGAGACCACCUAGGAAGACCAGGUGCUGUAGGCA